rnacentral:lncRNA from 1 species
CAGUGAGAGGAGGAUUGCCAGGAAAGAAGCCUUUUUAUUCAUGCGAUGUCAGCCCAGGAAAAUAGGAGAUCAGUCUCAAAUCUGUCUCCCCUACCAACUGAAAUUGAGGGCUUUAUGUAUCAGGAGGAGGAAUCAAAUAUAGAUACCUGGAGAAUUCCAAGAAUACAGUCUAAGUUUCUAACUUUCCUUGCUAGUGUAAUUAUGUGAAUAAUUUCUGGCCAAUAAGACAAGCAAAAGAAUUGUGUGCAACUUCUGGGAAGAGAAGAGAUGUGACUUCCUUCAUCUUGUUCUUCACCUUGCUGUCUGGAAUAUGAACUUGAUGGCUGGAACUUGAGCAGCCUUCUUGGAUCAGAAGGCGGCCUGGGAAUAGGAAUAGAGCUGAAGAGAAGCCGCUGCAUUCUUGAAAAUUAUAAAGAUGCCAUGCCAUUUCAGCUUGCUUUCCUGUGGACUUCAUUUAUAUGUAUGAAAUAAAAGUUUAUAUUGUUUAAGCUCCUGUGGGUUUUCUGUCACUUGCAACUAAAUACAAACUUAUAUAAUUUGAAAUGU